rnacentral:tRNA from 1 species
CGGGAUGUGGCGCAGCCUGGCUAGCGCACUUGCAUGGGGUGCAAGGGGUCGUGGGUUCAAAUCCCGCCAUCCCGACCA